rnacentral:tRNA from 1 species
GGGGAUUUAGCUCAGCGGCAUAAGCGCCUGCCUUGAAAGCAGGCAGUGGUGAAUUCGAUCCCUG